UGCAUCGGCUGGGAAUCGAACCCGGGCCGCCCGCGUGGCUGGCGAGCAUUCUACCACUGAACCACCGAUGC
rnacentral:tRNA from 1 species